rnacentral:rRNA from 1 species
GGUAGUCCACGCCGUAAACGAUGGAUACUCGCUGCCGGCGCUACACUGUCGGUGGCUUAGCGAAAGCGUUAAGUAUCCCACCUGGGGAGUACGCCCGCAAGGGUGAAACUCAAAAGAAUUGACGGGGGCCCGCACAAGUGGUGGAGCAUGUGGUUUAAUUCGAUGAUACGCGAGGAACCUUACCUAGGCUAGAAUGCGCGUGACCGCCCCAGAGAUGGGGCUUUCCUUCGGGACACAAAGCAAGGUGCUGCAUGGCCGUCGUCAGCUCGUGCCGUGAGGUGUUGGGUUAAGUCCCGCAACGAGCGCAACCCCUAUGUUUAGUUGCCAGCGGGUCAAGCCGGGGACUCUAGACAGACUGCCUGCGCAAGCAGUGAGGAAGGCGGGGACGACGUCAGGUCAUCAUGGCCCUUACGCCUAGGGCUACACACGUGCUACAAUGGACGGUACAGCGGGUUGCCAACCAGCGAUGGUGCGCCAAUCCCGAAAAGCCGUUCUCAGUUCGGAUCGGAGUCUGCAACUCGACUCCGUGAAGCUGGAAUCACUAGUAAUCGCGUAUCAGCAAUGACGCGGUGAAUACGUUCCCGGGCCUUGUACACACCGCCCGUCAAGCCAUGGAAGUUU